GGGGGGGGGGGGGGGGGGGGGGGGGGGGGGGGGGGGGGGGGGGGGGGCGAGGGGCUGGCGGCUGGGGCGGUGGCGGCGGACGGGGGGGGAGCACGUGGCUGACCCACCCAUCAGACUGGGAUAACCUCGGGAACCCGGGGCUGCUACCGGGUCACAGGUUGAACCGCAUGGUUCCACAGUGAAAGACGGUCCUGCCGCCCCUUAUAGACCGUACCGCGCCGCAUUCGCUAGUUGGUAAGGUCACGGCUUACCACGGCAACGAUGCGUAGCCGCCCUGAGAGGGUGAUCGGCCACACUGGAACUGAGACACGGUCCAGACUCCUACGGGAGGAAGCAGUAGGGAAUCUUCCGCAAUGGGCGAAAGCCUGACGGAGCAACGCCGCGUGAGUGAAGAAGGUCUUCGGAUCGUAAAACUCUGUUAUUAGGGAAGAACAAAUGUGUAAGUAACUAUGCACGUCUUGACGGUACCUAAUCAGAAAGCCACGGCUAACUACGUG
rnacentral:rRNA from 1 species